ACAACGCUUGGAUCGUCGGUCUACCGAGCAAUAUCCGCUCGGUGGAAGAUCUUCCCUCCAUCAU
rnacentral:pre_miRNA from 1 species